GCAAGCCUAUGAUGCUUAGUUAUCCCUGUCUGAAAACUCUCAACUGAGGGAAGUAACCUCUUCUGAGGCUUGA
rnacentral:snoRNA from 1 species